ACGAGCGCAACCCUUGUCCCUAGUUGCUACGCAAGAGCACUCUAGGGAGACUGCCGGUGACAAACCGGAGGAAGGUGGGGAUGACGUCAAGUCCUCAUGGCCCUUAUGGGUAGGGCUUCACACGUCAUACAAUGGUCGGAACAGAGGGUCGCCAACCCGCGAGGGGGAGCCAAUCCCAGAAAACCGAUCGUAGUCCGGAUCGCACUCUGCAACUCGAGUGCGUGAAGCUGGAAUCGCUAGUAAUCGCGGAUCAGCAUGCCGCGGUGAAUACGUUCCCGGGUCUUGUACACACCGCCCGU
rnacentral:rRNA from 1 species